AGAAUCAACGCUGGCGGCGUGCCUAACACAUGCAAGUCGAACGAGAAAGUGGAGCAAUCCAUGAGUAAAGUGGCGCACGGGUGAGUAACACGUGACUAACCUACCCUGGAGUGGGGGAUAACUGAGGGAAACCUUAGCUAAUACCGCAUAAUACCUACGGGUCAAAGGAGCAAUUCGCUUCAGGAGGGGGUCGCGGCCGAUUAGUUAGUUGGCGGGGUAAUGGCCCACCAAGACAGUGAUCGGUAUCCGGCCUGAGAGGGCGCACGGACACACUGGAACUGAAACACGGUCCAGACUCCUACGGGAGGCAGCAGUGGGGAAUUUUGCGCAAUGGGGGAAACCCUGACGCAGCAACGCCGCGUGGAGGAUGAAGUCCCUCGGGACGUAAACUCCUUUCGAUCGGGACGAUUAUGACGGUACCGGAAGAGAAGCCCCGGCUAACUUCGCGCCAGCAGCCGC
rnacentral:rRNA from 1 species